GGAGCCCUUGAGAACAGGAUUAGUGCUCUCAUAAAGCAGAAGCCAGAGAGCUUGCUUGCUUUCCUUCCACGCUGUAAGGACACAAUGAGAAGCUGGCAGUCUUCAACCUGAACCAACCAUGCUGGCACCCUGAUCUUUAACUUCUAGCUUCCAGAACUGUGAGAAAUACAUUUCUGUUGUUUAUAAGCCAUCUAGUCUAUGGUAAUUUGUUACAGCAACUCAAAGUGACUAAGAUGCUCAAGAAGAAAUAAAGGAUACACAAGAAACUGAUAACAUUAGUUAACUGCACUGAGAAGAAUUAUGCAGCUGAGGGGCAGAGCCAGGAACCCUAAGACAGUGAAGGAAAAUCUCUUCCUCCCCUAGAGCUUCUGGUACCCAAUGAAGGGCCACAUCAGCUGGGGACACCUUGCUCAGUCCAGAAGCUGCUGUUCAAAGAUCCUGGACUUCCCAUCUGACAAAAGCCAGCAGAAGGUAAAAAUUCUUACAUCAGUGUUGAGUCUCUGCCUUCAGGGCCUGGUGGAGCAAAAGUGGGAGAACGGACUUGCCUUGUCUUAGAUGAGACUUUGGAAAGUGGACUUCAGAGUUAAUGCUGAAAUGUGUCAAGACUUGGGCGACUGUUAAGGAGGGAUGAUUGUAUUUUGCAAUGUGAGAAGGACAUGAGAUUUGGGAGGUGCCAGAGGUGGAAUGAUAUGGUUUAGAUUUGUGUUCCCACCCAAAUCUCAUGUCAAAUUGUAAUCCUCAGUGUGGGAGGAGGAGCCUGGUAGGAGGUGAUUGGAUCAUGAGAUGCAUUUCCCUCCUGCUGUUCCUGUGAUAGUGAGUUCUCAUGAGAUUUGAUUAUUUAAGUGUGUAGCACCUCCCUCUGUGCUCCCUUCCUCCUGCUCUGGCUGGGCAAAAUGUGCCUGCUUCCUUUCUACCAUGAUUGAAAGUUUCCUGAGGCCUCCUCAGCUAUGCUUCAUGUACGGCCUGUGGAACCAUGAGCCAAUUAAACAUCUUUCUUUAUAAAUUACCCAGUUUCAAGCAUUUACUUAUAGCAGUGCAAGAAUGGACUAAUACAAUAAUAAAUGUAAAUAUGCCCAGAAGAAAAAUGAAAAGGUGUUAGCAAUGUAUCUCAAUAUGCUUACAGGCCAAUAUUUUUUUCAUGUCUUAAAAAAGGUGAGUUUGUCCCUCCAUACACAGGGUCUAACAAUCUCCAUCCUUUCGUCCUUCCUUUCUUCCAGGGGGAGGGAGGAGGAGUACACCUCUUUCAUACAGCCUCAGCCCCUCUCCUUCUUGCCAUCCUACA
rnacentral:lncRNA from 1 species